rnacentral:lncRNA from 1 species
UGACUACUUUAACUUCGAUAAUCUAGCUAACCAAGUUUAGUGAAUGUUCUACAAUUCUUUAUUCUAGAUUUGUGUAGGUCUUUCAAUGAGAUGGGAUUGAUUUCUUUAACACUCCCUCUCAACACCAUCUCAUUCUUCUCUCUACGUUGGGUUGACAACGCUUUAUCUUGAACACUCAUUUGCAUGAUAUGGGUUUCGCAUCUCUUGGCCUUGCUAUUGGAUCCCAAGGUUGAUUUUUCUUUAGCACAACAUCCUCUUCGCCCAGAUGUAUGCCACUCGGACUUAUGUGAUGCUUCUUUAUGCAUCUCAGCUUCAACUUCUUCUACUAUAGUUGAGUUGGCAUAUUUGGGAUUUGGCUUCAGUAUUCUUGUUGACCUCUUUAGUUGUGAUCGUGGAGUUGAUACUUCCACUUCACUAAGUCUAAAUUCUCUUGGUGGUUGAUACACACCAGUUUGCCAAGGACUCUUAGGUAUUUCUUGCUUGACAUCAUCUCUAGCAAGCAAAUCUUAAGGUUCAUCUGGACUCGAUUGGACUUGGGCAGCUUGGUCUCCCAUUUUCUCCUGCAACAUGUCUUCAAUCUCUCUUGAGUCAGGCAACACUUCAUUUUCUGAGCACCACCAAGAAGAUGCGUCAGCGUCCCACUCUCCCUCCAUAGCUAGAUAUGUUACGGCGUCCUAAUCAUCUUCAUUUUUCUUUUCUAAGUUGGCGACGUUACUUUCUGCAGGCUUUUUGAACCAACAAUCAUUCGCCAUAUGACCUUUCUUUCCAUAAUUGUAGCACUUGCCCUCAAAUCUUUUAUUAUUUUGGGACUAACCACGGUUGCCGUGAUACUUUGGAGCUCCCCCUGGUUGAGAACUCCCUCCUCUUUGAUGACCUUUUUCCUUGUCACCACUUCUUUUAGAUCCACCACCAACAUGCUGCUUAACGCUGCCUUUACUUUUGGUGUAGAGCGUUUCCUCGUUACCUCUUAACAAGACCCCUCCCAUUUGCUUUGUCAAAGCUUCUUAAUCGACAAGUAAAUUCGCAAUCUCAACAAGUGAUGGUUGGGUCGGCCAUCCUUGUACAACGACAUCGAAGACUCAAUAUUCGGGUCUCAAUCCAUGGAUAAUUAUUCUUUUUAUCCUAGAUUCUACAAUGGCAACACUAGGAUCUAACUCAGAAAUUUCACGGCAAAUAGACUUUACCUUGUGGAAAUAUUAGGCAAUCGUCAUGUCUCGUUGGGCCAACGAUAACAACUCGUUCUCGAAAGCUGCAGUCUUGUAUCAUUCCUCUUUGAAAAGAGUGUGGCGAAGGUGUCCCACACUUCUUUUGGUGUCUUGGCCUUUCGUAUGUGCUCCAACAUAUCCUCUUCAACUGUGGUUUUUAAGGCAAACAUGGCCUUACCUGCCUUGAUCUUCCAUUUUCCUCAAAGUGACGCUGGUGUCUUCUUCCGGCUGCGUAACUUCAUUACCACCAAUGACAUCCUAAAGAUCUUGGCCUUGUAGGUAAGAUUCCUUACAUGUUGCCCAUGUGUUGUAAUUUUUGUUGUUCAACUUCUUGAUUGCUUCAACAACUUGAAGAUCUCCCAUCGUGUCGACAGAGCUUCAAUAAGCCGAACAAGACUAGUCAACAAUGUUGCGAAGUACUAAACUUCUCACGAUUCUCGGAAGCUUCACUAAAGACGGUCCUUGAUCAUACCACUCUGAUACCAAUUGUUGGAAAGAAAAAAAACUAGAGUACACAACUCUAACACAAGUGUUGGAGCUUGUAUUACACACAUAAAAUAUUACAACACAUAAACUUUCAAGGACACUCUUUAGAAGCUAUGACACUCACUCUUUCUAGAGACACACUCUACACCACUCACACUCCUACAAGACUACUCUUGCUUCUUAUUCUCACUUGAUUGCCUACUUGCUUUUUGGCUACUUGAUUGAUUACUUUCUUCUUAAUUGAUUUAUUGUUGAUACAAAUGGUGAGGAUGCCUUCUCCUUUUAUAGGUAUGGUUGGAACCUUGGAGAAGCAUGGAACCAUCAUGCGAGAGAUAUCUAGAUAAUUACACUACCUUCCUAAGCUAGAAUUAUCUACACUAAUCUUGCAUGUUGGUGGAAACCUCACCAUUCUUCUAGACUCUUCCACCAACUUAAGAAACAACCUUCUAGUCCUUUCUACAAAUGACUACCUUAACUUGUGUAGGUCUUUCUACAAAUGUUUUAGAAUUCUUUAUUCUAGAUUUGUGUAGGUCUUUCAAUGAGAUGGGGUUGAUUUCUUUAACACAUGGUAUGCAGCGGACAUACAAUAUUGAGGGUCAAAGAUAUUAUUUUAUUUUAUUUUUGCAAUACGGACACUCGAAAACUCUGGUGCAUUAUAGACAAGCCCCAAGUUUCAUAUUGGGUUCCAAUAUCGUGAUCAUUUUUAUUGGUGACACAUCAUUUAGCUAACAAAUUAUGUCUCCUAGCAUUACCUUUUUUGAUAAAUUUAUAGAUACUAUAAACUACUUUAAUUAGCAACUAGAACAAGUUUAAACUUGAGUGCGAGAGAACAAAGAUAUAUCGUCUAGAUCAAUUAGUCGUAGUC